rnacentral:misc_RNA from 1 species
GAUGAAGAACGCAGCGAAAUGCGAUAAGUAAUGUGAAUUGCAGAAUUCAGUGAAUCAUCGAAUCUUUGAACGCACAUUGCGCCCGCCAGUAUUCUGGCGGGCAUGCCUGUUCGAGCGUCAUUUCAACCAUCAAGCCCUGCUUGCGUUGGGGUCCUGCGGCUGCCCGCAGGCCCUGAAAACCAGUGGCGGGCUCGCUAGUCACACCGAGCGCAGUAAUACAUCUCGCUUUGGGCGUGCGGCGGGUUCUUGCCGUUAAACACCCCCUUUUUACCAAGGUUGACCUCGGAUCAGGUAGGAAUACCCGCUGAACUUAAGCAUAUCAAUAAGCGGACUA